GAAGUGUUGGGAAAUAUUCGAAAUGAAAACGAACGAAUACCCAGAAUUCCUACGGCGGAGGGAGGCGAGGAAGCCCAUCAUUGCCAGGUCUCUGGUGUGAACCGGAGGUGGCAGUGACGAUCAGAACCAUUGGAUGCACGGGUACAGGGAAAGGGUUUAGAACAGAAAUGAACACUGUCCCCCAGGCGUGGGGGAAGGGCUGCUCCCAGCCUAAUAGGCGCACUGCUUCUGGUGGCUGGAGGGUCUCAGGAAACCCCGGCAGGGCCACAUCUCUUCUCCGGAAGUUUCCUGGCCUCCUUCAUCUCCUGGGAACCUCUCAAGGGCCUGCUGGAAGCCCUGUACUUCCCACUGGUACCCAAACGGCUGCCCUAAUGGGGACACCCUGGGAGGAAGCCCAGCUGUGACAGCCGGAUGGAGCCCGUACCCUGCGUCCGAGCCCCUCAAAGCUUUGCACUGUUCCUGGCAAGGGAGAAAACCUACACGGUCAGGGGCUGCCCAGGAUGCUGAGGGUGAGUUCAGAGCAUGGGCGGCCGGAGCCCACUCUCAUUUCCCGCCUCCUGGCCAACACAUGCGUCUUCUUAGAGGUUCCUUGGACGUCCCCCAUUCCUGAGCAUGUAUGGCCCUCCGACCGGAGCCCACAGGCCCUGACCGGCCUCCCACCCUGACUCGGUCACACCUCCCACCCCCCGCACUAGCCAGGCUUGUUCCCAUGCUGUCACCUCCUGAAAACGCAGUUCCAGGGCUUUCUCCUGCCUGGGCUCUUGGUACUUGGACAUGCUGGAACCAGCCUGCAGCCAAGUGUGGGCUGUGUCUGCCCGCUGGCUGGGGUCACCUGAGCCCACAAUGCCCCGGAUGGUUCUCUUCUUGUCUGUCAGCCUUCGGGGGUUCAGUGGCCUCUCCUGUCCUCACACAUGGACACGAUUUAAUGAAGCGUUUUGAUACUUCUAGUUCGGGUCAGUGCAGUGUUAUGUUAGGAAAGUGUGGUGGCUUUUAAAUAUCUACCUGGCAAACCAAAAAAUUGGAAGUUUUGUCAAGAAAACAAAUUUUGAACAAAAGGAAGUCGCAGGGUAUAAGUUAUAUGAAACUAUGCAUAUAAAGUUUGAAAACCUACAAAACAGGACCUGUAUGUAGAUAGUUACAUACAUAUGUGGUAAGAUUCUGGCAUCACGCACAGGAAUGAGGGGAACGGCGGCCUCUGGGAGGCAGAGAAGAGAAGUGGAUCGGAGGCGGGUUGUCUGCAAGGAGCUUUGUUUUUACUUCUUAAACUGGGCAAUGAGUACGUGAGAGUGUUUAACACAUUUCCUAAACUUCGCAGCAAGUUUGCAAUUUACUGAAGAAUUGCAGGGGGAAAGGAAGAGAGGAGAAAAGAGGAGGUAGGGAAGAAAGGGAGGGAGAGAGAGGAAGACAUGUGAGGAAGGGGAGAAGGGCAGGACUGUGGAUACUUGAAAUCCUGAGUAUGAAAAGCACAGAGUUGGAAACACAGUAAUGCAUGAUGUGUUUGUGCAGGAAGAGAGAAACUCAAUAUGGUAAAAUUUCACGGGGGAUUCAGCAGGGACGACCCUCAGAAGGGGAUUUGUGUUCGUAUGCAGUCAUGACUUCCCCUGAGCACGUACCAGCUGCAUCCCCAAAUCCGAGUCUUCUCCUUAAGGAGACAGAUUUACUUUGGCCUCCCUGGACAGAUGGAGUUUCAUGAAAUCAUGAAUUCACCACUAAUGUGGUAGGUGAGCAAAUGCUUUCUCGUUUUACAAAGUCUUCGGGGUUUGUAGAAAUGACCCAGGCAACUACUACAAACAUCAGUAAGGAAAAUAACUGGUUUUCCUUCAAAUGUAAAAUACAUGGCUUGCAUUUUAUGACAGGCAAAUAUGAAAGAAGGAAGUCCAUGCCAAGUCAUAAGCAGUGGGGUGCCCUUGGGGCCCGCAGUGCUUCUCUGCACUCCAUCUUUUGUGCUCAGAACCCUCUCUGGACUGACGUUCAUUUGUUUCCAGUUAUCCUCUCUGUAGCUCGGCAUUUAUCAGUAAUGCUUGCUAUGGAAGGAGGAAACCAGAAACUAAGGACCUUCCCAAGUUUCCUCUAAAAAAUAAAAUGUCAAACUGGUUGGAGAUAAUAGCAAUAAUCACAUCCCGUGGGUGGACGCCAUUAUUCCACUUGACAUGAGGAAACUGAAGUUCAAAGAACGUAAGUAAACACUCAAGGUCACAUGAAGGGUGAGCCACAAGAAUCUGAGAUUUCGUCCCCGAUCUGCCUGAUCCCCGCACCAGAUCCCAGCUACAGCGCUGUGCCGCCUCGUGCCUCCAGGGAUGCCCGUGUCCCUGUUGCGUUCUCACCCCUGACCCUCGAGCGAGCUGCAGCUGGAAGUCUUGUUCUCCUUAUCCCUCCAGGGCCAUAAAGGGUCAACAGACUGACAUGGAAAUGCUACAUCCUCUUCUGUCCCAUAAUGAGCAAUGCUGUAGCCAGCAUUUACAGUUGGCAUGUUAGCAUUUACAGACGCAGCAAAACUGUCAGCCUUUGAAUUCUUUCCACCAUCUUUUCCUAUCACUUGACCAGUCCUUUGCCACAUGCAGACCUUUGAAGCCCAAAUGUUACUUGGCCACACCAAACAAAGACACGUGUUUGCCCUACUGCCAUAUUUUACAUGACCCCGAACCUUCUGCGAGCUCAAGCAGGAACUUGACAAUCCUCCAUUGUGUUCUCUCCCAACAAAAAGUCGUGCCAGCUAUUUCUGAUCCCUCCCAGUGGGUGUCUUCUGUGUGCUUCUGAGCCAGUCUGCUGUCCUUACUGCGUGGGCCUCUCCAUAACCCUCUGCUUGAUUCACACCUGCUGACAAGCAAUCUCGCAAAGCCCCUCGAAGGAGUACCACCGUGGCUUGCCCGGCCUUGCUGUUCACUCUAGAUCAGGCUGCCUCCAGACGCUGCCGCCUCCUAAGGCUAACAGAGCUAGUGGUCCUCAGGGUGCCGUAAUAAUGCUAUAUUGCAGGUAGAGGCGGGGAGAACAUUCCAUCUAAAACUCUAUGCUACACUUUUAUGCUGGAGUCUUAUAGCAGCAUUAUUUAUGCCAUAGUUCAUGCAAAUGUAUAGUCCACACUAACUAUCUGAAAUCUACUUCAACCAGCCCAAAUUCCUUAUUGUCUGUUAUUAAAUAUCACAAGUAUAAAGCUUAGAGGUGAAGAGACAUGGCAAAAUCUUCUAUGCUUACCUUGUAUGUGAUGCCACAUUUCCAUUGACAGCAGGGAUCUCACACUCUAUCAGAAUCACUGGGAAGGCUUGUUAGAUCACAUGUGCUUCCUGCAGUUUAUAUCCACUGACAAUAAAUUCCCCUAGCUUAUUUUCUGAAUCUGUUUCAAUUAAUUAAAAGAGCUAAUGAGCCAAGUUUGGGUUUUGUUUUUUAAACACAUAGAAUACACAACUUUGUGUAUGUUAUGUGCCUUUGAAAUCUUUUUAUCUAUUCAACCAAAGUGACAACGAGGUAUUGUUUCCAUGAUUUCAUUUGAUCAAAUGUUUUGACAUUUUUAACUUUCCCAAAUCAAAUUCUUACUGCAGCAAAACAAAAACAAAAGCCCACAAAUGUUAAUUCGGGCUUAUUUGAUUUAUCUACAUGGGGAACAUUGUCAAGCAGAGUGAUGUCUAACCUUCUUAGAUCAUAUUAGAUAGGGUCUGUGUUAUUCAGAAAUUAUAUGAAAUGCCUAAAAGUCUGCCUAUAUAUCCUGGUAUAAUGUUGUCAUAACUCCAGCUAUUAUCUGGAAGGAUUGUACACCACAAAAAUAAACCACAUUUACUUGUCAAUUGUAUCAUUUUCUGUGCAUAUGUGAGCUCUUUCCAGAUCUUUAACUAUGGCUGUUUUUAAGUGUUUUGUCACCUGCAGUUACAGUUUUACUCUGAUGCUUUUAUGUAAGUGCUUCAUCUUUGAGAUUCAUGGAAA